UACGGAGGGUGCAAGCGUUGUUCGGAUUUAUUGGGCGUAAAGAGCGUGUAGGCGGCUCGAUAAGUCUGCUGUGAAAGUCCAGGGCUCAACCCUGGAAGGCCGGUGGAAACUGUCGGGCUAGAGUCCGGAAGAGGAGAGUGGAAUUCCUGGUGUAGCGGUGAAAUGCGCAGAUAUCAGGAAGAACACCCGUGGCGAAGGCGGCUCUCUGGGACGGUACUGACGCUGAGACGCGAAAGCGUGGGGAGCGAACAGG
rnacentral:rRNA from 1 species